rnacentral:rRNA from 1 species
CCUACGGGAGGCAGCAGUAGGGAAUCUUCCACAAUGGACGAAAGUCUGAUGGAGCAACGCCGCGUGAGUGAAGAAGGGUUUCGGCUCGUAAAACUCUGUUGUUAAAGAAGAACAUAUCUGAGAGUAACUGUUCAGGUAUUGACGGUAUUUAACCAGAAAGCCACGGCUAACUCCGUGCCAGCAGCCGCGGUAAU